AUGUUGGCCGCCACCACCGCCGGCCGCCGCGCCAUCGCGCCGCAUCAGGAGAAGCGGCGUCGGAGCCGAAGGCCGCCGCCGUGCCAAGGUGUGGCGGAGAGAACUGCGCUCCGCAUGCGCGUUGGCCGUCUCUGUUGCCGGGCUGCGUGGCGGGCCGUGGUGCUCCUCCGGAGGGAGGAGCGUUGCUGCCGGGAUGUGGUCGUCGCCGCUGUAGACGGCCGUGCCGAUGGAGGCCGCGGGUGCAGCCUCAACCAUCCGCAUCCAGGGGGAAAAGGGAGGAGGAGAGUGGACGAGCGGCCGCCGCUUAGACCUUCCUCCGUCCGGAAUCCGCGGCCGAUCUCAUUUAAGAGGCAAGAACAUCACAAAUUGAAGAAAUCACAUGGAUGCUUACAGUUAUUGAGUGUGUUCGAGGCUUCCAAUUGUUGA
rnacentral:rRNA from 1 species